UACGAAGGGGGCUAGCGUUGUUCGGAAUUACUGGGCGUAAAGCGCGCGCAGGCGGUCCUUUAAGUCGGGGGUGAAAGCCCAGAGCUCAACUCUGGAACUGCCUUCGAAACUAGAGGACUUGGGUACGGGAGAGGUGAGUGGAAUUCCGAGUGUAGAGGUGAAAUUCGUAGAUAUCGGGAGGAACACCAGUGGCGAAGGCGGCGAUCUGGGAAGAUACUGACGCUGAGGUGCGAAAGCGUGGGGAGCAAACAGG
rnacentral:rRNA from 1 species